GGUUGAUUAGUGUAGUUGGUUAUCACAUCGGAUUUUGAGGACAAAUUUCCGGGGACCCGGGUUCGAAUCCCAGAUCGACCU
rnacentral:tRNA from 1 species